rnacentral:misc_RNA from 1 species
GAUGAAGAACGCAGCGAAAUGCGAUAAGUAACGUGAAUUGCAGAAUUCAGUGAAUCAUCGAAUCUUUGAACGCACAUUGCGCCCAUUAGUAUUCUAGUGGGCAUGCCUGUUCGAGCGUCAUUAAGUCCACUUAAGCCCUGCUUAGUGUUGGGAGACUGCUCCAGCGGUGCUACCCUGUAGCUACCCUGCAGCUCCUCAAAGACAGCGGCGGAGUUGUGGUAUCCUCUGAGCUUAGUAACUUGUUCUAGCUUUCGAGUACACCACUUCCCCUGCCGUAAAACCCUUAAUUUUUAAUGGUUGACCUCGGAUCAGGUAGGAAUACCCGCUGAACUUAAGCAUAUCAAUAAGCGGAGGA